rnacentral:rRNA from 1 species
CAGCCGCCGCGGGAAUACGGAGGGUGCAAGCGUUAAUCGGACUUACUGGGCGUAAAGCGUGCGUAGGCGGUUCGUUAAGUCUGUUGUGAAAGCCCCGGGCUCAACCUGGGAAUGGCAAUGGAUACUGGCGAGCUAGAGUGUGUCAGAGGAUGGUGGAAUUCCCGGUGUAGCGGUGAAAUGCGUAGAGAUCGGGAGGAACAUCAGUGGCGAAGGCGGCCAUCUGGGACAACACUGACGCUGAGGCACGAAAGCGCGGGGAGCAAACAGGAUUAGAUACCCCGGUAGUCCCUGUCUCUUAUAC